AGCAGCCGCGGUAAUUCCAGCUCCAAUAGCGUAUAUUAAAGUUGUUGCAGUUAAAAAGCUCGUAGUUGAAUUUCGGAAUCAAUACGUCGGUCGUGCUUCGGUACGUACUAACGUCAUUGGUCUCUCCCUUCUGACGAACCAUGAUGUCAUUAAUUUGGUGUUAUGGGAAAUCAGGACUGUUACUUUGAAAAAUUAGAGUGUUUAAAGCAGGCUCACGCUUGAAUACAUUAGCAUGGAAUAAUGAAAUAGGACGUUCGAACCUAUUUUGUUGGUUUCUAGGAUCAACGUAAUGAUUAAUAGGGAUAGUUGGGGGCAUUAGUAUUCAAUUGUCAGAGGUGAAAUUCUUGGAUUUAUUGAAGACUAACUACUGCGAAAGUAUUUGCCAAGGAUGUUUUCAUUAAUCAAGAACGAAAGUUAGGGGAUCGAAGACGAUCAGAUACCGUCGUAGUCUUAACCAUAAACUAUGCCGACUAAGGGAUCGGAUGAUGUUAAUUUUUAAUGACUCAUUCGCGCCUUACGG
rnacentral:rRNA from 1 species